rnacentral:rRNA from 1 species
AGCCCAGCACCGAAUCCCGCGGCCGAUAUCGGACGCCGGGAAAUGUGGUGUUCGGGAGGGUCCACAUUAUCUCGAGAUCAUGUUACGCGUCCAAGUCCUUCUUGAACGGGGCCACAGCCCAUAGAGGGUGCCAGGCCCGUAGCGAUCGUAACUGGUAGCGAGAGGAUCUCUCCUUAGAGUCGGGUUGCUUGAGAGUGCAGCCCUAAGUGGGUGGUAAACUCCAUCUAAGGCUAAAUAUGACCACGAGACCGAUAGCGAACAAGUACCGUGAGGGAAAGUUGAAAAGCACUUUGAAGAGAGAGUUCAAGAGUACGUGAAACCGUUUAGGGGUAAACCUGAGAAACCCGAAAGGUCGAAGGGAGAAAUUCAAUCGCGUUUCGUCGACGACGUUGAGCGAGAUUGAGCGACGGAAAAAUGUUUCGAUGUUUUACCGCACCGCUCGUUUUUCGAUUCGACGACGAACGCGUGCACUUUUCUCCUGGUAGGACGUCGCGAUCCGUUGGGUGUCGAUUUAUUUAAAACGAACGGUGGAGCCCGAACGUACGAUUUAAAAGUCGUUUUACGUUCGGACCCGUUCGUAAAUUUCGACUCGCUCGACGGUAUACGAAAGGUUUAAGGUCGCGCACAAUCUAAUAAACGCGCUGGUAUUUACGUGCCGGUGCGUACGCGUUCGACUCACGACAAGCGCGCCAGAUGUUGUCGGUAAAAUUUAACGGACCUAGUGUGCCGAUACCGACUCCUGGUGACUGUUGGUCGUGAAGUAUAUCUCGAACAGACCUUUGUUUUUAUAAAAACCGAUCUGCGACGCUAUAGCUUUGGGUACUUUCAGGACCCGUCUUGAAACACGGACCAAGGAGUCUAGCAUGUGCGCGAGUCAUUGGGAUUUUCAUUAAACCUAAAGGCGCAAUGAAAGUAAAAGUUCGUUUUAUACACGAACUUAGGGAAGAUGAACGGUGAUUUUUUUUUACAUAUGUAACUCCGUUCCGCAUUCCCGGGGCGUCUCAUUCUCAUUGCGAGAGGAGGCGCACCAAGAGCGUACACGCUGGGACCC